rnacentral:rRNA from 1 species
UACGUAGGUGGCAAGCGUUGUCCGGAAUUAUUGGGCGUAAAGCGCGCGCAGGCGGUCCUUUAAGUCUGAUGUGAAAGCCCACGGCUCAACCGUGGAGGGUCAUUGGAAACUGGGGGACUUGAGUACAGAAGAGAAGAGUGGAAUUCCACGUGUAGCGGUGAAAUGCGUAGAUAUCGGGAGGAACACCAGUGGCGAAGGCGAGUCUCUGGGAUGAUGCUGACGCUGAGGCGCGAAAGCCAGGGGAGCAAACGGG